rnacentral:rRNA from 1 species
GGGGACAUGAGGAAGGGGUGUAUUUAUUAGAUAAAAAAUCAAUGCUUUUCGGAGCUCUUUGAUGAUUCAUAAUAACUUUUCGAAUCGCAUGGCCUUGUGCUGGCGAUGGUUCAUUCAAAUUUCUGCCCUAUCAACUUUCGAUGGUAGGAUAGUGGUCUACCAUGGUUUCAACGGGUAACGGGGAAUAAGGGUUCGAUUCCGGAGAGGGAGCCUGAGAAACGGCUACCACAUCCAAGGAAGGCAGCAGGCGCGCAAAUUACCCAAUCCCGACACGGGGAGGUAGUGACAAUAAAUAACGAUACAGGGCCCUUUCGGGUCUUGUAAUUGGAAUGAGUACAAUGUAAAUACCUUAACGAGGAACAAUUGGAGGGCAAGUCUGGUGCCAGCAGCCGCGGUAAUUCCAGCUCCAAUAGCGUAUAUUAAAGUUGUUGCAGUUAAAAAGCUCGUAGUUGAACCUUGGGCUUGGUUGGCCGGUCCGCCUUUUUGGCGAGUACUGGACCCAACCGAGCCUUUCCUUCUGGCUAACCUUUCGCCCUUGUGGUGUUUGGCGAACCAGGACUUUUACUUUGAAAAAAUUAGAGUGUUCAAAGCAGGCCUUUGCUCGAAUAUAUUAGCAUGGAAUAAUAGAAUAGGACGUUAUGGUUCUAUUUUGUUGGUUUCUAGGACCAUCGUAAUGAUUAAUAGGGACGGUCGGGGGCAUCAGUAUUCAGUUGUCAGAGGUGAAAUUCUUGGAUUACCUGAAGACUAACUACUGCGAAAGCAUUUGCCAAGGACGUUUUCAUUAAUCAAGAACGAAAGUUAGGGGAUCGAAGAUGAUCAGAUACCGUCGUAGUCUUAACCAUAAACUAUGCCGACUAGGGAUCGGGUGUUGUUCUUUUUUUGACGCACUCGGCACCUUACGAGAAAUCAAAGUCUUUGGGUUCUGGGGGGGARUAUGGUCGCAAGGCUGAAACUUAAAGGAAUUGACGGAAGGGCACCACCAGGAGUGGAGCCUGCGGCUUAAUUUGACUCAACACGGGGAAACUCACCAGGUCCAGACACAAUAAGGAUUGACAGAUUGAGAGCUCUUUCUUGAUUUUGUGGGUGGUGGUGCAUGGCCGUUCUUAGUUGGUGGAGUGAUUUGUCUGCUUAAUUGCGAUAACGAACGAGACCUUAACCUACUAAAUAGUGCUGCUAGCUUUUGCUGGUAUAGUCACUUCUUAGAGGGACUAUCGAUUUCAAGUCGAUGGAAGUUUGAGGCAAUAACAGGUCUGUGAUGCCCUUAGACGUUCUGGGCCGCACGCGCGCUACACUGACGGAGCCAACGAGUAUUAACCUUGGCCGAGAGGUCUGGGAAAUCUUGUGAAACUCCGUCGUGCUGGGGAUAGAGCAUUGUAAUUAUUGCUCUUCAACGAGGAAUUCCUAGUAAGCGCAAGUCAUCAGCUUGCGUUGAUUACGUCCCUGCCCUUUGUACACACCGCCCGUCGCUACUACCGAUUGAAUGGCUUAGUGAGGCCUCCGGAUUGGUUUAAAGAAGGGGGCAACUCCAUCUUGGAACCGAAAAGCUGGUCAAACUUGGUCAUUUAGAGGAAAUACUGCCGAAGCC